UACUGAGAGAGGUAGGAUGCAGGGGAUGCUUUUCUUCUGUAUUCUGUUUAUUGAAGUACGUGUAUUGAAUACAGGGUUUGUGAUCUCAGCAUUUGCAUGUUGAUACAGGGAAAUGCUCCCUUAGGAAAUGGUAAAGAGUUUCUGCAUGGAGAGCUUUCGGUGAAGAUGGGAAGUCAAAAAGGAUUGCUACAGUCUGUGAAAAGUCAUCUCAUUCAUAAGAAAAGGUUUGGGGCAGAGCCUGUACAUGGUCCCCGAGGGCUCCCAGUGCCACUGGGCUGGUGUAAAGGCUCCUGCCUGCAGCUGACCAUGGAGCACUUCCAGUUGCUGUCACUCUCCGCUCGUUCCAGCUCUACAGCUCUUUCACUGGGGCUUUCCAGGUUUGGUGCCCUUCAAGUCCGUAUGCAUCACCAAGUAUCAACAAACGGCUGAGCUGCCAUCUCCUGGGGGCAAGUCCUCAGAAGCUAGAGCACCUGUUUCUUCUGAUGAGGCCUAUGAUAUGGAAGAAAAAUGCAAACAGGAGCCUUCUAAAUGAAAUGACAAAUUUAGCCCAUGUAAUGCACAGAAUACUAAUGAGCAAUCUGACGGAGCCGCUGCGCAUUCAUGCAUUACCGGCACUGAAGAAUGACCUUGGUCAAAUGAGCGAGAGAAGGGAGUCCUUGCACUCGAGAACAAAUAGAUGACUCUGAUUAAACUACAGCCACCUCACCUCUCCAGGGACCUUCACAGCCAAGCACAGCAAGAUUAAAGAGCUUACGCUUCCAUCAAGCACCUGAAUCCAGCUCACACUCGGCAGUAAUUUUGCACCAAGCCCUCUCUUCCCCUGCAACAGCCUUCGAAACUCACCGUUGCCUUCAUUGUCACAGCGUGCUGGAGUGCAGAGGGCCAGAAACAUUUCCCCCCCUGGAAAAACGUGACAUUGACUGUGCUCCAGUGGUUGAGACUCCUGCCCAUGCUCAUGAACAUCCAUAAAACCUGAAAUAAAAUAGGAGCUGCAGACACAUGAGAAUAGCCUCCAGACUCCUUUGGAAAAAGGUUAUAAAUAACGAACUUUGAAGAUUCUGGUUGGUGAAAAUCUUCCAGCUUAAUCAGGUUUGAAAUCCAGUUACGUAUCAUUUCAACAUUCAGCACACCAAUGAAGAAAUAUCCAUCCAGAUCGCUAGUGGUGCGAAGGAGCAAAACGAAGGCAGGCCUGAUCACUGCUUGAAAUAUUCCCAUUACAUCAAAUUGAUCAAGAUUUUUCACAGUGGAGCACAGUGCGUUCGCCUGGAGUGUAUCCACCUGACUUCAGCAAUGCUGCAUUAAUAGCUUAGUAGGCUGUGACCUUGAAGGCUUUAUAUUUAAUUUAUUUCAACAUUCCAGCCAUAGAGAUGUUUGCUCUGAUUAGAUCCAGUAAAUUACACUCCACCGAUGAAUUAUCAGGGGAUUUUCUUUUAUAUUUUUCUGCUCAUUCUCAAACUACUCAGCACGAGCCCUGGUAGGUAGCUCUGUAUAUCUAGACAGCUUAAAUGUCUCCUUUUCCAUAGCACAGGUCUCUAAACAGUUUACAGUGAGCUUUCCUGAACAACUAACUGCUCAUCAUGUAUGUGCCAUUUAUGGUGUCACCCAGUGGCUAAUUUGAUUAUCAAAACUUGUCAAUAAUCAAAUAAAUCAUGAAUUAUUUGCAGUUUUGGCCAGUGAUUAGCAAAUAGGUAGCAGAUCCAUGGGGACAUCCAUAUCUGCACCCCAAUAAGGCAUAGGCAGCCACUGUCUUGGCAUUCUGGGAAGGAGAGGAUCUUUCUUACCAAUUUAGGAAAGGAGACAUACAAAUAAUGAAAGAACAACAGAAGGCCUGAAUGAAUGUCCACAAACGAUAACUUUCUAGACUUAAGUAUCUUGAUGUAUGUAGUCUGCUAUUGCAGUGACCACGGCUUCUCUAGAUGAAUAACAUUGCUUGCAGAAAUGUUUGGUAUUCUGGUAAGAGAAAAAAAGGAAUUUGGUCUUGGUGUGUGAACUUCAGACACACUGACCAGCCACGAGGAGAGCUGAACCAAAUCUUCAAUGUUUUCUGGUUCCACAGGAGCAAGAACUGUGCUUUUUCUGCAACAUUUUUCCACCAGAGAUAUAUCAGGUACUUGCAACCAAUUGGGUUACAUGAGCUUAAUUCUUUAUUACUUUUGCCCCAGCAAGAUGCCUUGUGUAACUCUGAGCCAAAUGCAAAUGUAAAGUGUAUUAGCUCCAGUCACCCUGCAGGGACAUUUCUUUUUGGCAUUUGCAGGAGGCUAAAGGUCUGCACAUGGGUAGUAACCUUAGCUUACUUUGUUAGUAGUAACUUUUGCUGAGCUUCACUCAUUUGGUCACCUGCAGCUACAUGAAUAUACCCUUAGGAAAGAGGUGGUUAUAUCAGCAUUUUAAAAAGGGCUUUUUCCAGAAUGACUCAUCUUAAAGACUAAAUAUAAGGAUAGGUGCCAUACUUCUGAAGGUGUUUUGGUUUUUUCUUCUUGGGAGACAUCUAUAGCAUGUGCAGAGGCCAGGUUUAUGCUAGUGUGCUCAUGAUUCCCAGAAGAGCAGUCAAAAUGACUAUUAGGACAGGCAUUUAUCCUGCAAGAUCCAGGGCCAUGCUACCUUACCUGUAACCCAGUGAGCUUCCUGCAGGCUCCUCAGCUUCACCUCACAUCUGGAACAGUUAUGAAUAUUGCCUGCUGCCCUGCAACUCUGUCCUGGCGUGCUGCCAGCACUCAGCUUGGGGACUCUGUCAGGAGCUUAUUACAUUUGCCAAACAAGCUAUCAGUACAAAAAGCAUUAUCUGCUAAUAUCUCUGCAGCUCCAUGAGAAGGUUUUCUCCCACAAACUUGUUUUCUAGUUUGGAUGAGGCUGGAAAUGAUGCGAGCUGGUGACUUUUGUUUCCUUGCAGUGGUUUCGAUAAUGCUACCCAACCCUGAGGGAAGAAGGGCUGGAUUUUUUUGUUUUUAUACUGAGGACUGGAAAUUGUGAUUUAAUCCUUAAACUGUGUAAAUAAAAUCCUAAAUGCAGAAUUACUGGAAAAGGCACAGGGGCUACUUCAGCCAGGAAAUAGCUUCAUCAAAUGUUUUUUGGACCAAAACUCUGUAUUUUACACUUUCCAUAUCCAAAGAAAAAGUGCUGCAAUAAAUGAGGAUACAUAGUUAUUUGAACUCUAUCAUAAAAUACUAGCAUAACAUUCUCUUUCACCAUUACCUCUGUUUCGCUGGGGUAUGUAUAGCUACAGGCAAUUCAGAGCUUUGGCAGGUCAGGGUAACAUUUGCUUAAAACAUGUUUAAGCCUGGGCUCCAGUGACCUCACUAACCAAAUAGAUGAAGCUAAAAAUAUAUGUGAGAUGUUGUAGACACACAGGAGCCCCUGUUCCCCCAACUGUUUGCAAAAGGAAGAGACUGAUUCUCCUGAAUUCAGUUUGUCGUAGGAGAUAAGAGCUCACAUCAGACAGCUUGGGUGGGGGUUCCUUUGGUCUCUUUUUCUCAGACAGAAAUUACUGCAUAGAGAUCCUCCAGAAAUCUCUCCUGCUCUCUGCAUUCCUACUCCCCAAAUACUUCAAGUCCUUACAUUUUUAUGGCUAGAUAAUGAGGCCAGACCAAAUCUGUCAUCUGAUCUCUCUGCUAAUGUGGCAGACACAGUUUUCCAAUCCCAGCUUAAGCUGAUUUUACUUAACUGUGUCCUUUGUAGCUGAUGAGAGCUGAAACAAAACUUCUUCAGUUCAGGUUCCAGGGUUUGGCCAAUGUGUAACUGCUAUUCUCUACAAGUCUGUUUGAAAAUCCAUAUAACUAGCAAGUCAAGAUGCUGAGUUCAGAGUAACAAUAAACUAUCCUAAGCAAAUUAAUUAGCCUCAGUCGCAAAAGUGGAAUUUCAUAUUCGCAAACAAUUUGAGAAUCAAAUGGAACUGGUACAGAAAGAUGACAACAGACAACUGAGAGUUAUCAAUUUUCCCAUGUAGCAUGGACACAAGAUGGGUUCAAUAAAGGUUUGGA